UAGGGAAUCUUCCGCAAUGGGCGAAAGCCUGACGGAGCAACGCCGCGUGAGUGAUGAAGGUCUUCGGAUCGUAAAACUCUGUUAUUAGGGAAGAACAAAUGUGUAAGUAACUAUGCACGUCUUGACGGUACCUAAUCAGAAAGCCACGGCUAACUACGUGCCAGCAGCCGCGGUAAUACGUAGGUGGCAAGCGUUAUCCGGAAUUAUUGGGCGUAAAGCGCGCGUAGGCGGUUUUUUAAGUCUGAUGUGAAAGCCCACGGCUCAACCGUGGAGGGUCAUUGGAAACUGGAAAACUUGAGUGCAGAAGAGGAAAGUGGCAUUCCAUGUGUUGCGGUGAAAUGCGCAGGAAUAUGGAGGAACACCAGUGGCGAAGGCGACUUUCUGGUCUGUAACUGACGCUGAUGUGCGAAAGCGUGGGGAUCAAACAGG
rnacentral:rRNA from 1 species